ACGGGAGGCAGCAGUGGGAAUAUUGCACAAUGGGGGAAACCCUGAUGCAGCGACGCCGCGUGAGUGAAGAAGUAUUUCGGUAUGUAAAGCUCUAUCAGCAGGGAAGAAAAUGACGGUACCUGACUAAGAAGCCCCGGCUAACUACGUGCCAGCAGCCGCGGUAAUACGUAGGGGGCAAGCGUUAUCCGGAUUUACUGGGUGUAAGGGGAGCGUAGACGGUAAGACAAGUCUGAAGUGAAAUCCCGGGGCUCAACCCCGGAACUGCUUUGGAAACUGCCAUACUAGAGUGCAGGAGAGGUAAGUGGAAUUCCUAGUGUAGCGGUGAAAUGCGUAGAUAUUAGGAGGAACACCAGUGGCGAAGGCGGCUUACUGGACUGUAACUGACGUUGAGGCUCGAAAGCGUGGGGAGCAAACAGGAUUAGAUACCCUGGUA
rnacentral:rRNA from 1 species